rnacentral:rRNA from 1 species
CAAGAGUGAACCACCUGRUCCCUUCCCGAACUCAGAAGUGAAACCUCUUAGCGCUGAUGGUAGUGUGGGGUUACCCAUGUGAGAGUAAGUCAUCGCCAGCU